CAAAUCGAGCAGCUCUGACACUUAAUAGCUAGCCCUCCCAUAUAUUUCAACACUCAACUAUUUAUACCCUAAAAAACACUUAAUACAUAAACCAAACCAUUUUACCGCUUUAGUACAGGAGAUGAAAAAAGAACUAGGCGCAAUAGAAAAGUACCGCAAGGGAACGCUGAAAAAGAAAUGAAACAACGCAGUAAAGUAAAAUAAAGCAGAGCUAUUUCCUCGUACCUUUUGCAUCAUGUUUUAGCCAGAGCCCCUCAAGCAAAAAGUAUUUUAGUUUGACUACCCGAAACCAGACGAGCUACUUCAAGAUAGCCUAAUAAAUAGGGCCAACCCGUCUCUGUGGCAAAAGAGUGGGAAAAGCUUCAAGUAGAGGUGAUAAACCUACCGAGCCUGGUCAUAGCUGGUUACCUGAAAAUUGAAUAGAAGUUCAGCCCCUUGAAUUCUCAAGCCCAAACUGGAUACCCUCAGCUAAGACUAAAAGAAAUCUAGAGAGUUAUUCAAAGGGGGUACAGCCCCUUUGAAACAAGACACAACUUUUACAGACGGAUAAGGAUCAAAUUUACCAAAGUUAAAUACCCAGGUGGGCCUAAAAGCAGCCAUCCUAAAAAAAAGCGUUAUAGCUCAAGUAUAAACACAACUAAUAAUUCUGAUUAUUCCAUCCUACUCCCCUAACCCUAUCAGGUCGUCCCAUAUCCUUAUAGGAGUGAUCAUGCUAAUAUGAGUAAUAAGAAAGAACACUUUCUCCCCGCUCAAGUGUAACUCGGAACGGACCCCCCACCGAAAAUUAACGGCCCCAAUAAAAGAGGGAAUUAGGCCAUAAAACAAAGAACUAGAAAACCGCCCAUAAAUUACCGUUAACCCCACACUGGCGCGCGCCCCUGGAAAGACUAAAAGAAAAAGAAGGAACUCGGCAAAACUACCCACAAGCCUCGCCUGUUUACCAAAAACAUCGCCUCUUGUCCCCAAAAAUAAGAGGUCCCGCCUGCCCUGUGACUAUAUGUUUAACGGCCGCGGUAUUUUGACCGUGCGAAGGUAGCGCAAUUCA
rnacentral:rRNA from 1 species